GACAGAGGUGGCAAGCGUUGUUCGGAUUUAUUGGGUGUAAAGGGCAGGUAGGCGGCUUGGCAAGUCUGACGUGAAAUCCCAUGGCUUAACCGUGGAACUGCGUUGGAAACUGCCUAGCUUGAGUACCGGAGAGGUGAAGGGAAUUCUCGGUGUAAGGGUGAAAUCUGUAGAUAUCGAGAGGAACACCAGUGGCGAAGGCGCUUCACUGGCCGGUAACUGACGCUGAGCUGCGAAAGCAAGGGGAGCAAACAGG
rnacentral:rRNA from 1 species